rnacentral:tRNA from 1 species
GUGGAGCUGUUUGGUAGCUCACAAAGCUCAUAACCUUGGGGUUACGGGUCGAU